rnacentral:rRNA from 1 species
UUCCGGUUGAUCCUGCCGGAGGUCACUGCUAUUGGGAUUCGACUAAGCCAUGCGAGUCGAGAGGGUUCGGCCCUCGGCUGACGGCUCAGUAACACGUGGAUAAUCUGCCCUUAGGUGGAGGAUACCCUCGGGAAACUGAGAAUAAUACUCCAUAGGUCUAGGAUGCUGGAAUGCAUCUAGACUGAAAACUCCGGUGCCUAAGGAUGAGUCUGCGGACUAUCAGGUUGUAGUCAGGGUAAAGACCUGACUAGCCUACGACGGAUAUGGGUUGUGAGAGCAAUAACCCAGAGAUGAUAUCUGAGACACGAUAUCAGGCCCUACGGGGCGCAGCAGGCGCGAAAACUUCACACUGUGCGAAAGCACGAUGAGGGAAUCCCAAGUGCCAGCUCGUAAGAGUUGGCUGUUUUUCUGUCUAAAACACAGAGAGAGUAAGAGCUGGGUAAGACGGGUGCCAGCCGCCGCGGUAAUACCUGCAGCUCGAGUGGUGACCGUUAUUAUUGGGCCUAAAACGUCCGUAGCCGGUUUAGUAAAUGCCUGGGUAAAUCGUGUAGCUUAACUAUACGAAUUCCGGGUAGACUGCUAAGCUUGAGACCGGGAGAGGCUAGAGGUACUCCUGGGGUAGAGGUGAAAUUCUGUAAUCCUGGGGGGACCACCAGUGGCGAAGGCGUCUAGCUAGAACGGAUCUGACGGUGAGGGACGAAGCCCUGGGGCGCAAACCGGAUUAGAUACCCGGGUAGUACAGGGUGUAAACGCUGCUUGCUUGAUGUUAGUUUGCGCUCCGAGCUCAAUGUAGUGUCGGAGAGCAGGUCGUUAGCAAGCUGCCUGGGAAGUACGGCCGCUACACUGAAACUUAAGGACUUGGCGGGAAAGCACAGCAACGGGUGGAGCGAGCCGCUUUAGUGGACUCAAUGCCGG